UGGGGAUUCGUUAUUCUCCGAGGUUGGCGGGCUCGACGCGAGGCUCGAUGGGCUGCGGGAUUGUCAAGCAGGCGGGUGAUUGCUCAACGAUGACUGGAGACGAUCUUCGGUAUUACAACUGGUUUAUACCAAUGGGUUAUUUGCAUCUCAAGUUAAAUUAGUCACUGUUGAUCAACAAUGAGAUGUGGCCAUUGUUUGAUGGAUCAUUGAUGGUACGGAUGUGCAAUGAAACAAUGAUAUACCCACUGUAUUGGACCCAAACACCUUCCUGAAAAUUGUUCUGAAGGGGUUAGCACAAGGAAACUAUUGUUAUGACUUGCGAGGUCUGCUGGAGGUGACCGGAUCCGGAUGACUUGAGCAAAGCUGUGAAAAUUCACGGCAAGGGAUGGGGGUACAAAUCAUGGGUCUGCGGCGCCAC